rnacentral:rRNA from 1 species
GACGAACGCUGGCGGCGUGCUUAACACAUGCAAGUCGAACGGAAAGGCCUGCUUUCCCUUGUGGAUUGCGGGUACUCGAGUGGCGAACGGGUGAGUAACACGUGAGUGAUCUGCCCCCAACUUGGGUAUAAGCCUGGGAAACUGGGUCUAAUUCCCGAUAGGACUGCAGGGUGGUGCCUGUGGUGGAAAACGAUUUUCUAGUGGUUGGGGAUGAGCUCGCGGCCUAUCAGCUUGUUGGUGGGGUAAUGGCCUACCAAGGCGGCGACGGGUAGCCGGCCUGAGAGGGUGGACGGCCACAUUGAGACUGAGAUACGGCCCAGAGUCCUAUGGGAGGCAGCAGUGGGGAAUAGUGCACAAUGUGCGGAAGCCUGAUGCAGCGACGCCGCGUGGGGGAUGACGGCCUUCGGGUUGUAAACUCCUUUCGACCGCGAGGAAGCCACCUGGUUGGAAGGGUGGUGACGGUAGUGGUAGAAGAAGCACCGGCUAACUACGUG